rnacentral:rRNA from 1 species
AGCGUAGGCGGCGCGGUAAGUCAGAUGUGAAAUCCCGGGGCUCAACCCCGGAACUGCAUCCGAUACUGCCGUGCUAGAGGACUGGAGAGGCAACUGGAAUUCUCGGUGUAGCAGUGAAAUGCGUGGAUAUCGAGAGGAACACUCGUGGCGAAAGCGAGUUGCUGGACAGUAUCUGACGCUGAGGCUCGAAGGGCCAGGGUAAGCGAAAG